rnacentral:rRNA from 1 species
GCGUCCUACGGGACGCAGCAGUGGGGAAUAUUGCACAAUGGGGGGAACCCUGAUGCAGCGACGCCGCGUGAGUGAAGAAGUAUGUCGGUAUGUAAAGUUCUAUCAGCAGGGAAGAAAAUGACGGUACCUGACUAAGAAGCCCCGGCUAACUACGUGCCAGCAGCCGCGGUAAUACGUAGGGGGCAAGCGUUAUCCGGAUUUACUGGGUGUAAAGGGAGCGCAGACGGCUGUGCAAGUCUGGAGGGAAAGGCGGGGGCCCAACCCCCGGACUGCUCUGGAAA